rnacentral:rRNA from 1 species
UACAGAGGUCUCAAGCGUUUGUUCGGAUUCAUUGGGCGUAAAGGGUGCGUAGGCGGCGCGGUAAGUCGGGUGUGAAAUCUCGGGGCUUAACUCCGAAACUGCAUUCGAUACUGCCGUGCUUGAGGACUGGAGAGGAGACUGGAAUUUACGGUGUAGCGGUGAAAUGCGUAGAUAUCGUAAGGAAGACCGUGGCGAAGGCGGGUCUCUGGACAGUUCCUGACGCUGAGGCACGAAGGCCAGGGGAGCAAACGGG